AAAUGCAUCCCAGACAUUUGUGUCUCCUACACUUGCUAGAAGCUGGCCACAAAUUUGAUUCUGAUGUUUAUCCACCAGCGCAGAGAGAGAAAUCAGACGUGGUGUAAGGUUCAUAAUGUUUUGUAAUACUUAAAAACAAGAAAAAAAAAAACAGAUUCUCAGAGAAAAUACACUGAUCCAAAAUGCUGAAUCCAGAGAGGAAUAUCAGGACUGAAGGUCCCCUUAGCAUCCUGACACUGAGUCUGGCACUGUGGUAACCGGAGCCCCACCUUACAGGCUGGUGGGCAGCUGGACAGAGAGCCAGGUUGUAGAUGCAGUUCCAUGGUGGCUCGGGUCCAGAGCUAGAAUGGCUUAUUCCAGAAGAGUCUGCAGAACUUAGAGGAGAAGGUGGGCAUGUGUCUUGAGGUCAGCCUCUGCAGUGGGGCCUCCUCGGCUGACCGUGUGCCUGAAGCCUGGUGCUGCCUGUGGAAGGGAUCACACGAAGAGUGAGCUGUUUUUAAAUGAAAUCAUGAAGUAGUGUCUAGAAAUUACCUAAAUCCCUCCAAAGAAGAGCAAUUUUUGUGGCUGUCACUCAAGGAAAGCCAAUGAACAUAAAGAACAGUAAUCUCACUCAAGCUAGACUCCAUCCUGUGUUGUUAAGGCAAGUGAGGAACUGAUGGGAACCGGGAGACAGCUUUACUCAAGAUGAGCACAAACGACAAAUGCUGGAGAGGGUAUGGAGAGAAGGGAACCCUCCUACGCUGUUGGUGGGAAUAUAAAUUGGUACAGCCACUGUGGAAAACAGUAUGGAAAUUCCUUUAAAAACUAAAAAUAGAGCUACCGUAUGACCCUGCAGUCCCACUCCUGGGCAUACAUCUGGAGAAAAACAUCCAAAAGGAUGCAUGCACCCGAAUGUUCAUUGCGGCACUGUUUACUACAGUUAAGACAAAUGUCCAUUGACGGAGGAACAGAUAGAGGAGAUGUGGUUGAUAUAUACAGUAG
ensembl:lncRNA